rnacentral:rRNA from 1 species
AGAGUUUGAUCCUGGCUCAGGAUGAACGCUGGCGGCGUGCCUAAUGCAUGCAAGUCGAACGCUUUGUGCUUAAUUGAUAUGAUGAGCUUGCUCUGAUUUGAUUUUUUGAUUUCAAAGAGUGGCGAACGGGUGAGUAACACGUGGGUAACCUACCUCUUAGCAGGGGAUAACAUUUGGAAACAAGUGCUAAUACCGUAUAAUACCAACAACCGCAUGGUUGUUGGUUGAAAGAUGGUUCUGCUAUCACUAAGAGAUGGACCCGCGGUGCAUUAGCUAGUUGGUAAGGUAAUGGCUUACCAAGGCAAUGAUGCAUAGCCGAGUUGAGAGACUGAUCGGCCACAAUGGGACUGAGACACGGCCCAUACUCCUACGGGAGGCAGCAGUAGGGAAUCUUCCACAAUGGGCGCAAGCCUGAUGGAGCAACGCCGCGUGUGUGAUGAAGGGUUUCGGCUCGUAAAACACUGUUAUAAGAGAAGAACGGCACUGAGAGUAACUGUUCAGUGUGUGACGGUAUCUUACCAGAAAGGAACGGCUAAAUACGUGCCAGCAGCCGCGGUAAUACGUAUGUUCCAAGCGUUAUCCGGAUUUAUUGGGCGUAAAGCGAGCGCAGACGGUUAUUUAAGUCUGAAGUGAAAGCCCUCAGCUCAACUGAGGAAUUGCUUUGGAAACUGGAUGACUUGAGUGCAGUAGAGGAAAGUGGAACUCCAUGUGUAGCGGUGAAAUGCGUAGAUAUAUGGAAGAACACCAGUGGCGAAGGCGGCUUUCUGGACUGUAACUGACGUUGAGGCUCGAAAGUGUGGGUAGCAAACAGGAUUAGAUACCCUGGUAGUCCACACCGUAAACGAUGAGUGCUAGAUGUUCGAGGGUUUCCGCCCUUGAGUGUCGCAGCU